UACAGAGGUCUCAAGCGUUGUUCGGAUUCAUUGGGCGUAAAGGGUGCGUAGGCGGCGCGGUAAGUCGGGUGUGAAAUCUCGGAGCUUAACUCCGAAACUGCAUUCGAUACUGCCGUGCUUGAGGACUGGAGAGGAGACUGGAAUUUACGGUGUAGCGGUGAAAUGCGUAGAUAUCGUAAGGAACGCCAGUGGCGAAAGCGAGUCUCUGGGCAGCAUCUGACACUGAGGCACGAAGGCCAGGGGAGCAAACGGGG
rnacentral:rRNA from 1 species